UACGAAGGGUGCAAACGUUGCUCGGAAUUAUUGGGCGUAAAGCGCACGUAGGCGGCAUUGCAAGUCGGAUGUGAAAUCCCUCGGCUUAACCAAGGAAGUGCAUCCGAAACUGCAGUGCUUGAGUACUUAAGAGGAUCGCGGAAUUCCCGGUGUAGAGGUGAAAAUUCGUAGAUAUCGGGAGGAACACCAGUGGCGAAGGCGGCGAUCUGGGAAGAUACUGACGCUGAGGUGCGAAAGCGUGGGGAGCAAACAGG
rnacentral:rRNA from 1 species